UACGUAGGGGGCGAGCGUUGUCCGGAUUUACUGGGCGUAAAGCGCUUGUGGGCGGUCCACCAAGUUUGGGGUGACAGUUGCCGACUUAAUCGGCAAAGUGCCUCAAAGACUGGCGGACUUGAGGGCCACAGAGGGACAUGGAACUCCAGGUGUAGUGGUGAAAUGCGUAGAUAUCUGGAAGAACACCAAAGGCGAAGGCAGUGUCCUGGGUGGUCGCUGACGCUGAGAGGCGAAAGCCAGGGGAGCGAACGGG
rnacentral:rRNA from 1 species